rnacentral:rRNA from 1 species
AACGAACGCUGGCGGCAUGCCUAACACAUGCAAGUCGAACGCGUGUAGCAAUACACGAGUGGCGCACGGGUGAGUAACGCGUGGGAACCUGCCCAGUGGUAGGGAAUAACUGCGGGAAACUGCAGCUAAUACCCUAUACGCCCUACGGGGGAAAGUUUUUCGCCAUUGGAGGGGCCCGCGUCGGAUUAGCUAGUUGGUGAGGUAAGAGCUUACCAAGGCGACGAUCCGUAGCUGGUCUGAGAGGAUGAUCAGCCACACUGGGACUGAGACACGGCCCAGACUCCUACGGGAGGCAGCAGUGGGGAAUAUUGGACAAUGGGGGCAACCCUGAUCCAGCAAUGCCGCGUGAGUGAUGAAGGCCUUAGGGUUGUAAAGCUCUUUCGACGGGGACGAUGAUGACGGUACCCGUAGAAGAAGCCCCGGCUAACUUCGUGCCAGCAGCCGCCGCCGUAA